GCCAGGCAUGGUGGCGCGUGCCUGUAAUCCCAGCUACUCAGGAGGCUGAGGCAGGAGAAUCGCUUGAACCUGGGAGGCAGAGGUUGCAGUGAGCUAAGAUCGUGCCACUGCACUCCAGCCUGGGUGACAGAGUGAGACCCUAUCUCAA
rnacentral:SRP_RNA from 1 species